UGGAAAGCCGGGUUUAGCCCUGGCCGAGAGCCGCUGGCUUUGGGAGGACCUCUGAUCUGGUCCCGCCUCUGCCGCUUGCGCUGUGUGGCCGUGGCCGAGUCAUUUCUACACUGACUAUCUGUAUCCCUGCUGGCAUCCAGUGAAUAUUGAUGGAAUGACACAUGAAUAAUGUGUGUUCUAGAGCCAGUGGUGUGCUGAUAAGUGUUCGACAGCCGACUCUCUGGAGGGAAGAGAGCAAUAUAUGCAUAUAUAUGAUAAUCGACACAACAAUAAAUCAAGGCCCUGAUUUGUAGCAUUUGCUGAUAUCCAUGGUGUAAAUACUCCCACCAUGGCUGAUUUCAAUCUGCCGCACACAUUGUUACUGAAGGAAAGAGACGAGUGGUAACAUACCCUUUCGUAGCAGUUUCCUCAUGCAGGUACAAUAACAACUCCAAGAGCAUAGUGGCUGUGUUUAACAAUUUGGCUUGCAAAAUUCCUGAAGUGUUAACAGUUGGCCUUCGCGGUCCUGGACAAGCCAGCUCCCCAACAGCUUUACGCCUCAGUUUUCUCAUCUGCAAAAUAGGGAUAAGGACCGCUGCUUCGCUUACUUGCAGGCCUGUUGUGAAGAUCAAAUAAGGUAAAGCUUGUUGAGGAUACUGGACUGGAGGGGACGGAGAGGACUGGACAGGAGACUGCAGGCAGAGAGAUCGGUUGGGAAACCAUUGCAAUCCCAUGAGAGAUGCUGAGGGAUGCAAGAGAGGAGGAGGAAGGAUCAGCCAGCAGAACUUAGCAACUCUGCACCUCAGGGUGCAUUGAGGUGAAGAAGAUAUGAGUCCUGGAGCCAGAGAGACCUUUUUAAAAUGGAAAUUUGUUGGGGCGCCUGGCUGGCUCUGUUGCUAGAGCAUGCAACUCUUGAUCUCUGGGUCAUUAAGUUCGAAUCCCACAGUGGGUGUGGACUUUACUUAACAAUAAAAUUAAAAGCGAAA